CACACCAACAACUGCACCUACUUUCUUACAGGGUUGGAUGCCUAUAACAUGCCUGCAUGGUGGGACAGCAAGCGGCUGAUUGCCCGCACACACUCAGAUGCACGCUUGCACACAUGCUCACACAUGCUUACAUGCACACUCACACUUGCCUUCAGACACACAUGGGUCCAGGCAGGGCCCUGGCUUGGCCUGACCUGCUUCCCCUGUGCUUUCUGCAGCUGCAGGGGGUGCUCUGCCCUCCUCUGCGGGGUUUCCACCCCCUCUGUCCUUGGGCCUUGGAUUCUGGGGGGCUGGUGGACUGAUGCCAACAUCCUCCUCUCUCUCCCCAGGAUUUUUGUCAACCGCAGCCUGGCGCUGGGGAAGAUUCGUUGCUUUGGCUUCGACAUGGACUACACUCUGGCUGCCUACAAGUCCCCAGCUUAUGAGGCCCUGACCUUCGAGCUGCUGCUGGAGCGCCUGGUGUGCAUUGGGUACCCGCAUGAGAUCCUGCGCUACACCUACGACCCCACCUUCCCCACCAGGCGGCUGGUGUUCGAUGAACUCUAUGGGAACCUGCUGAAGGUGGACGCCCACGGGAAUGUGCUGCUGGGUGCCUAUGGCUUCACCUUCCUCUCGGACCUACCCCUCCUCAGGGCAGAGAUCUGGAGCUUCUACCCCAGCAAGUUCAUUCAGAGGGACGACCUGCAGUGUUUCUACAUACUCAACAUGCUCUUCAACCUGCCUGAAACCUACCUCUAUGCCUGCUUGGUGGACUUCUUCUCUGGCUGCUCCCGUUACACUAAUUGUGACACCGGCUAUCAGCAUGGGAACCUCUUCAUGUCCUUCCGAAGCCUCUUCCAGGAUGUGACUGAUGCCAUGAAUAACAUCCACCAGUCGGGCUGUCUCAAGAAGACCCUGGAGGACUUGGAGAAAUAUGUGAAGAAGGAUCCACGCCUCCCCAUCCUGCUGGGGAAGAUGAAGGAGGUUGGGAAAGUGUUUCUGGCCACCAACAGCAGCUACAACUACACCAAUGCCAUCAUGACCUACCUGUUCAGCAUCAGUGAGGCUGAAGCCUCGGGCAGGCCCUGGAGGUCCUACUUUGACCUGAUCGUGGUGGACACGCAGAAGCCCCACUUCUUUGCAGAGGGGUUGGUCCUGAGGCAGGUCAACACGGUAAUGGCAGGUGCAGAGGACUCAGGAAAGCUCCACGUGGGCACCUACACAGGGCCCCACCAGCACUGUGCUGUCUACUCUGGAGGCUCUUCGGACAUGGUGUGCGAGCUGCUUGGGGUUCGGGGGAUGGACAUCCUGUACAUUGGGGACCACAUUUUUGGGGACAUUCUCAAGUCCAAGAAGCGUCAGGGCUGGCGGACUUGCCUGGUGGUUCCUGAGCUGUCCUGGGAGCUGGACAUCUGGGCCCAGGAGAAGGAGCGGUUGGAGGAGCUGAAGAGACUGGACACGCACCUGGCAGACAUAUACCAGCACAUGGAUGGGAGCAGUUGUGAGCUGCAAGUCAUCAACUUCACCAAGAGAGAGAUCCAGAGGGUCACCCAGGAGCUGGACCUGUGCUACAGCACCAUGGGCAGCUUGUUCCGCUGCGGUUUCCGCCAGACACUCUUCUCCAGCCAGCUGAUGCGCUAUGCCGACCUCUACACUGCCGCCUGCCUCGACCUCCUGUACUUCCGAGUGAGCUCAGCUCUCUCGGGCGGCCCCGGAGUUGAUGCCACAUGAGUCAGUUGUGGAGCAAGAACAGGCCAAUCUAGACCCUGCCUCCUGCCUCCUCUCCUGCAACCAGAGGGGUUAGGGCAAAGAGAGAAACGAGGAUCAGGAAAGUUACAUCGAGGCUGACGGAAUCCUGGACAUGGGCUGGCAUCACGGGCCAUCUUCUACUUGAGAUAUUUUUCAGAUAACACAAGUAUGGAAAAAGGAAAAAGCAACUGUAUUGAAAUCUCCUAAAUGCAGCAGAUUUGGAGCCUGCAAACACUUCUUUUAGGGAGGAGGCAGUAUUGCUCUUAACCUAGAAGGCAUCCUCAAUGGUCUUUGAGACGUUUGGAAACGUGUGCACAAGUGAAAUUAUUUUACCUACUUCUCUUGAACGCAUGAUGUCUCAUAUCCAAUUUUAUUUCUAAACAUUUCUUUUAAAAAAUAGUUAUUUCUGUGCACUUCUGAUUCUGUUACUAGUAAGAACAGUAAAACCUGAUUGGCUAUAUAUUGCCUCACUAACUGCUCUUUCAUUCUGGGUCACUACGAAAGAUGUUAAAUGAGAUAGCCCAAAUGUCUUUGAGUUUGUGUAUACACAUUAAAACACAUAAAAAGUCAUACUCAUGAUUUUAAAACUUGACUCUCGAAUGUGUUAGAAGCUUCUCUGUGGUAUUAAAGUGCUGAAGCAUCA